AGGCCGAAACAUAAUAUUUGUAUCAUUCUGAGAGCCUAUAACACCAUGCUUUCCAGCAAUACAAUUAUGGAAAUUUUUUUCCUCUCUCAUAUUGACAUUGGGAUUUGGAGGAACUUACUGCUACUCCUGAUGCCUAUUUACACCUUUUUGAUAUGUCCCCAGCAGAAGAAGCCCAUGGGCUGGCUUUUCCUUCACUUGUCUGUUGCUAAUACGAUGACACUUCUCCACAAAGUUAUUCCAUUGGCAGUAAAAUCUUUCAAUAUUAAAAAUCUUUUGAAUUAUACUGGAUGUAGGGAAUUUGAAUUUGUAUAUAGAGUAUCUUGGGGACUUCCCCUAUGUACAACAUGCCUCCUAAGCAUGGUGCAGGCCCUCUGUGGGAGCCCCAGCAAAUCCAGGUGGGCGUGGCUGAAAGACAAAAUGCUCAAAACACCACUAUGCUUCUUCUUAAACUCUGGGUCAUCAACAGUCUCAUCUACGUCAGGCUUGUGCCGUUUGUUGACACUAUCAAAUAUGGCAGUGUCACCAAGAAUCUCUCCAUAAAAAUGUGUUUAGCUACACCACACAUGGGUAACGCAAUUGCCGUCUCUCAUACGAGUUAUCACACUCCAGGACUUAAUUUUUCUGGUUCUCAUGAGUUGGGCCAGUGGCUACUUUGUGAUUUUCCUUCACAGACACCAGAAAAAUAAUCAACAUCUUCACAACAACGGCUGUUCCUCUAGAGCCUCCCAUGAGACCGGAACCAUCACAACUGCACUGCUGCUUAUGAUUUGCUUCGUUGUGUUUAAUGUGAACAACUCGUGCCACAGCAUUUACCUAAGUAUGGUGAAGGAAAGGCAUCAGUUGUGGACCGUCUCAGAUUUGAUUUCCUCGUGUUACCCCAUAUUUUGGUCCAUUUUUGCUCAUUGGUAGAGAAAGUCUUAUCCUGAAUUCAAAAUCUAUGAAGUGGAGAAAGUCGUCUUAUCCCAUAGAUAUGUCAAAGUAAACUUUCACCAAUAUAAACUUCUCCCAAAACAACAUUCUAUAAAGAGUUGGUAUU
rnacentral:lncRNA from 1 species